GCUGGAGUCGGUCCCAAGGGUUGGGCUGUUCGCACAUUAAAGCGGUACGCGAGCUGGGUUCAGAACGUCGUGAGACAGUUCGGUCCCUAUCCGCUGCGCGCGGAGGAAUCUUGAGAAGGGCUGUCUUUAGUACGAGAGGACCGAGACGGACUGACCUCUGGUGUGCCAGUUGUUCUGCCAAGAGCAUGGCUGGUUGGCUACGUCGGGUUGUGAUAACCGCUGAAAGCAUCUAAGCGGGAAGCACGCUUCAAGAUAAGGGUUCCCACAGGUGAUCCUGGUAAGGUCCCCGAGAGAUGAUCGGGUUGAUAGGCCAGACGUGGACGCAUCGUAAGGUGUGGAGCUGACUGGUACUAAUAGACCGAGGACUUUCAUUAACA
rnacentral:rRNA from 1 species